UACAGAGGUCUCAAGCGUUGUUCGGAUUCAUUGGGCGUAAAGGGUGCGUAGGCGGCGCGGUAAGUCGGGUGUGAAAUCCUGGAGCUCAACUCCAGAACUGCCUUUGAUACUGGGGAUCUCGAGUCCGGGAGAGGUGAGUGGAACUGCGAGUGUAGAGGUGAAAUUCGUAGAUAUUCGCAAGAACACCAGUGGCGAAGGCGGCUCACUGGCCCGGUACUGACGCUGAGGUGCGAAAGCGUGGGGAGCAAACAGG
rnacentral:rRNA from 1 species